AUUCAGCUGACGAGUCCCAAAUAGGCUGAAACGUACGUCUUAGAU
rnacentral:hammerhead_ribozyme from 1 species